rnacentral:rRNA from 1 species
AAAAGAACCUGAAACCGUGUACGUACAAGCAGUGGGAGCACGCUUAGGCGUGUGACUGCGUACCUUUUGUAUAAUGGGUCAGCGACUUAUAUUCUGUAGCAAGGUUAACCGAAUAGGGGAGCCGAAGGGAAACCGAGUCUUAACUGGGCGUUAAGUUGCAGGGUAUAGACCCGAAACCCGGUGAUCUAGCCAUGGGCAGGUUGAAGGUUGGGUAACACUAACUGGAGGACCGAACCGACUAAUGUUGAAAAAUUAGCGGAUGACUUGUGGCUGGGGGUGAAAGGCCAAUCAAACCGGGAGAUAGCUGGUUCUCCCCGAAAGCUAUUUAGGUAGCGCCUCGUGAAUUCAUCUCCGGGGGUAGAGCACUGUUUCGGCAAGGGGGUCAUCCCGACUUACCAACCCGAUGCAAACUGCGAAUACCGGAGAAUGUUAUCACGGGAGACACACGGCGGGUGCUAACGUCCGUCGUGAAGAGGGAAACAACCCAGACCGCCAGCUAAGGUCCCAAAGUCAUGGUUAAGUGGGAAACGAUGUGGGAAGGCCCAGACAGCCAGGAUGUUGGCUUAGAAGCAGCCAUCAUUUAAAGAAAGCGUAAUAGCUCACUGGUCGAGUCGGCCUGCGCGG